UACGUAGGGUGCGAGCGUUUGUCCGGAAUUAUUGGGCGUAAAGGGCUCGUAGGCGGUUUGUCGCGUCGGGAGUGAAAACACUGGGCUUAACUCAGUGCUUGCUUCCGAUACGGGGCAGACUAGAGGUAUUCAGGGGAGAACGGAAUUCCUGGUGUAGCGGUGAAAUGCGCAGAUAUCAGGAGGAACACCGGUGGCGAAGGCGGUUCUCUGGGAAUGUCCUGACGCUGAGGAGCGAAAGCGUGGGGAGCAAACAGG
rnacentral:rRNA from 1 species